CGGUGAAGUAGGUGAACAAGCUGGAAAGCUUGGCGAUACAGGGUGAUAGCCCCGUAACCGACGCUUCAUCGAGCGUGAAAUCGAGUAGGGCGGGACACGUGAUAUCCUGUCUGAAUAUGGGGGGACCAUCCUCCAAGGCUAAAUACUCCUGACUGACCGAUAGUGAACCAGUACCGUGAGGGAAAGGCGAAAAGAACCCCUGUGAGGGGAGUGAAAUAGAACCUGAAACCGUGUACGUACAAGCAGUAGGAGCACCUUCGUGGUGUGACUGCGUACCUUUUGUAUAAUGGGUCAGCGACUU
rnacentral:rRNA from 1 species